UCGGGAAUUUUGGGCAAUGGGCGAAAGCCUGACCCAGCAACGCCGCGUGAAGGAUGAAGUAUUUCGGUAUGUAAACUUCGAAAGAAUAGGAAGAAUAAAUGACGGUACUAUUUAUAAGGUCCGGCUAACUACGUGCCAGCAGCCGCGGUAAUACGUAGGGACCAAGCGUUGUUCGGAUUUACUGGGCGUAAAGGGCGCGUAGGCGGCAUGACAAGUCACUUGUGAAAUCUCUGGGCUUAACCCAGAACGGCCAAGUGAUACUGUCGCGCUAGAGUGCAGAAGGGGCAAUCGGAAUUCUUGGUGUAGCGGUGAAAUGCGUAGAUAUCAAGAGGAAUACCUGAGGUGAAGACGGGUUGCUGGGCUGACACUGACGCUGAGGCGCGAAAGCCAGGGGAGCAAACGGGAUUAGAUACCCCUGUAGUCCCUGAGCGGGCUGGCAAGGCGCAU
rnacentral:rRNA from 1 species